rnacentral:rRNA from 1 species
GGAAUAUUGGACAAUGGGCGCAAGCCUGAUCCAGCCAUGCCGCGUGAGUGAUGAAGGCCCUAGGGUUGUAAAGCUCUUUCACCGGUGAAGAUAAUGACGGUAACCGGAGAAGAAGCCCCGGCUAACUUCGUGCCAGCAGCCGCGGUAAUACGAAGGGGGCUAGCGUUGUUCGGAUUUACUGGGCGUAAAGCGCACGUAGGCGGGCUUUUAAGUCAGAGGUGAAAUCCCAGGGCUCAACCCUGGAACUGCCUUUGAUACUGGAAGUCUUGAGUAUGGUAGAGGUGAGUGGAAUUGCGAGUGUAGAGGUGAAAUUCGUAGAUAUUCGCAGGAACACCAGUGGCGAAGGCGGCUCACUGGACCAUUACUGACGCUGAGGUGCGAAAGCGUGGGGAGCAAACAGGAUUAGAUACCCUUG